UACAGAGGGUGCAAGCGUUAAUCGGAAUUACUGGGCGUAAAGCGCGCGUAGGCGGCUGCGUAAGUUGGGUGUGAAAUCCCCGGGCUUAACCUGGGAACUGCAUCCAUAACUGCUCGGCUAGAGUACAGUAGAGAGUAGUGGAAUUUCCUGUGUAGCGGUGAAAUGCGUAGAUAUAGGAAGGAACACCAGUGGCGAAGGCGACUACCUGGACUGAUACUGACGCUGAGGUGCGAAAGCGUGGGGAGCAAACAGG
rnacentral:misc_RNA from 1 species